rfam:Human echovirus 24 strain DeCamp complete genome.
UUAAAACAGCCUGUGGGUUGCACCCACCCACAGGGCCCACAGGGCGCUAGCACUCUGGUAUCACGGUACCUUUGUGCGCCUGUUUUAUUAC